ACAUACCAAACAUGAAACAACUUGUGGUUCGAUUAGUGCUGCUUUUAGUUUUAAUUCUCGUGUCUUUCUCUUGCAGUUUUGCUCGAACCAUGGCUGAUCCUAAGGGAAAGAAGGAAGAAUCAUACCACAAUGGAUGUGGACCCUAUGUGAGGACUUGCACUGGAUAUCCACCACCUCCCUGCAACACUCCAAUCUGCGAAUAGAUAUCAUCAAUUAAUAAUAUUAUUAGUAUUAAUUAAUGAAUAAAUUAUUAAUUAUCGCUCUUUGAUUAAGUAUCUGUGAUAUAUAUAUAUAUAUAUAUAUGUAUAUGUUUGUACUUUGUACAAUUGUACUGCUACUAUAGCAAGUAUUAAUAAAUGAAUAAAUUGGCAGAGAGCUCUGCCCUUCUGGGUCA